UGCAAAACCGGCGGAUGAACUGUGGAUAGGGGUGAAAGGCUUAACAAAUCUGGAGAUAGCUGGUUCUCCCCGAAAACUAUUGAGGUAGUGCCUCGUGAAUGACUGCCGGGGGUAGAGCACUGUUAUGGCUAGGGGGACAUGGCGUCUUACCAAACCAUGGCAAACUCCGAAUACUGGCAAGUUGAAUCACGGGAGACAGAGCACCGGGUGCUAACGUCCGGACUCAAAAGGGAAACAACCCAGACCGCCGUUUAAGGUCCCUAAUAACAGCUAAGUGGAAAACGAAGUGUGAAGGCUAAGACAGUCAGGAAGUUGGCUUAGAAGCAGCCAUCCUUCAAAGAAAGCGUAAUAGCUCACUGAUCGAGUCCUCAUGCGCGGAAGAUGUAACGGGGCUAAGCUGUUAACCGAAAGCGCGGAUUUCCAAGCAAUUGGAAGUGGUAGGGGAGCGUUCUGUAAGCCGACGAAGGUGAUUCGUAAGGAUUGCUGGAGGUAUCAGAAGUGCGAAUGCUGACAUGAGUAACGAUAAAGCGGGUGAAAAGCCCGCUCGCCGUAAGCCCAAGGUUUCCUGCUCUACGUUCAUCGGAGCAGGGUGAGUCGGCCCCUAAGGCCAGGCUGAGAAGCGUAGUCGAUGGGAAGCUGAUUAAUAUUUCAGCACCACUGUUGAGUGCGAAGGGGGGACGGAGUUUUGCAAGUAAUCCGGGUGUUGGAUGUCCCGGUUGGCGAGCGUAGGAGGUGAGCAGGCAAAUCCGCUCACGCAUCUCCGAGACGAAGCCUCGAGGUCCUUAAGGACUGAAGUUACCGAAUGAACUUCCAGGAAAAGCCUCUAAGCUCCAGCUCAACGGUGACCGUACCGUAAACCGACACAGGUGGGCGAGUUGAAUAUACUCAGGCGCUUGAGAGAACUCGGGAGAAGGAACUCGGCAAAUUGACACCGUAACUUCGGGAUAAGGUGUGCCUUGGUAGCGUGAAAGGAGAAACUCCCCAAGCGCGAAGAGGUCACAGAAAAUAGGGGGCUGCGACUGUUUACUAAAAACACAGCACUCUGCAAAGACGAAAGUCGACGUAUAGGGUGUGAUGCCUGCCCGGUGCCGGAAGAUUAAGUGAUGGGGUGAGAGCUCCUGAUCGAAGUCCCGGUAAACGGCGGCCGUAACUAUAACGGUCCUAAGGUAGCGAAAUUCCUUGUCGGGUAAGUUCCGACCUGCACGAAUGGCAUAACGAUGGCCCCACUGUCUCCUCCCGAGACUCAGUGAAGUUGAAAUGUUUGUGAUGAUGCAAUCUCCCCGCGGCUAGACGGAAAGACCCCAUGAACCUUUACUGCAGCUUUGCAUUGGACUUUGAACCGAUCUGUGUAGGAUAGGCGGGAGGCAAUGAAACUUUGACGCCAGUCAGAGUGGAGCCGACGUUGAAAUACCGCCCUGAUUUGUUUGAGGUUCUAACCGCAGACAGUGAGCCUGUCUCGGGACCGUGCAUGGUAGGCAGUUUGACUGGGGCGGUCUCCUCCUAAAGGGUAACGGAGGAGUACAAAGGUACGCUAGGUACGGUCGGAAAUCGUGCUGAUAGUGCAAUGGCGCAAGCGUGCUUGACUGCGAGACCGACAAGUCGAGCAGAUGCGAAAGCAGGUCAUAGUGAUCCGGUGGCACUGAAUGGAAGGGCCAUCGCUCAACGGAUAAAAGGUACUCUGGGGAUAACAGGCUGAUACCGCCCAAGAGUUCACAUCGACGGCGGUGUUUGGCACCUCGAUGUCGGCUCAUCUCAUCCUGGGGCUGUAGCCGGUCCCAAGGGUAUGGCUGUUCGCCAUUUAAAGAGGUACGUGAGCUGGGUUUAAAACGUCGUGAGACAGUUUGGUCCCUAUCUGCCGUGGGCGUUGGAAGUUUGAGAGGGGCUGCUCCUAGUACGAGAGGACCGGAGUGGACGAACCUCUGGUGUACCGGUUGUCACGCCAGUGGCAUCGCCGGGUAGCUAUGUGCGGAAAAGAUAACCGCUGAAAGCAUCUAAGCGGGAAACUUGCCUGAAGAUAAGUCUUCCCUGGGGUUUAACCCCACUGAAGGGUCGUUUGA
rnacentral:rRNA from 1 species